GCGGCGGCGCAGUAUUCUAGUCAGAUCUGCCGUUUCCGAGGGAGGGCCUAAAAAUCCUCUGAAGGGCACACCGAUGAAACCUCUGGUGCCUGCUUGAUACGCCCAGUUUCGGGUGGGUGCUGGGGGGAAGCGUGCCGUGCACGCUUGCGGACUCAGGGCGCUUUCCAAUGGCAUGGUUAUCCCGACCCUGUUUUCGUGGAGACCUGUUCUUGUGCGCAGACGUACUCCCAUCGUGGUAUUUCCGGCUUGUGUACGAAGCAGAUGAUGAACCUGCAAUGCGGUGCAUCGGUCCUGCGGGGCCGUAACGCUGUGUGCAGAUGUAGCCUGCCUUGCGUGGAGUGGGUGGAUAGGGGAACUACGCGCCGCGGCUCUGGCCGGAGCGGCGGGGCGAUCGCUCCUUGAAACCCGGUCUGCAAAAGAGGCUAAAGAAGCGGACAGACUGCAGUGGAAAUCACCUAGGCUGUCAUUCCGGGCGGAACAGGGAUUGCAGUGCGGACUAAGUGGCAAUCGGGCAGCGCGGCUGGCAACACCGCGCCGCGGCGCCGAACGGGGAACCGCCUCCAUCGGCAACGAGAGGUGCGCCGUGGGGAAAGCCAGCCCGUACCUAAGCCGUAAGAUUUACCUGUCCCGCUGCCGCCGG
rnacentral:sRNA from 1 species